GGAUAACCCCGGGAAACCGGGGCUAAUACCGAAUAUGACCUCUGACCGCAUGGUUGGUGGUGGAAAGUUUUUCGGCUUGGGAUGGGCUCGCGGCCUAUCAGCUUGUUGGUGGGGUGAUGGCCUACCAAGGCGACGACGGGUAGCCGGCCUGAGAGGGCGACCGGCCACACUGGGACUGAGACACGGCCCAGACUCCUACGGGAGGCAGCAGUGGGGAAUAUUGCACAAUGGGCGGAAGCCUGAUGCAGCGACGCCGCGUGAGGGAUGACGGCCUUCGGGUUGUAAACCUCUUUCAGCAGGGACGAAGCGUAAGUGACGGUACCUGCAGAAGAAGCGCCGGCCAACUACGUGCCAGCAGCCGCGGUAAGACGUAGGGCGCGAGCGUUGUCCGGAUUUAUUGGGCGUAAAGAGCUCGUAGGCGGCUUGUCGCGUCGACCGUGAAAACUUGGGGCUCAACCCCAAGCCUGCGGUCGAUACGGGCAGGCUAGAGUUCGGUAGGGGAGACUGGAAUUCCUGGUGUAGCGGUGAAAUGCGCAGAUAUCAGGAGGAACACCGGUGGCGAAGGCGGGUCUCUGGGCCGAUACUGACGCUGAGGAGCGAAAGCGUGGGGAGCGAACAGGAUUAGAUACCCUGGUAGUCCACGCUGUAAACGUUGGGCGCUAGGUGUGGGGGGCCUCUCCGGUUCCCUGUGCCGCAGCUAACGCAUUAAGCGCCCCGCCUGGGGAGUACGGCCGCAAGGCUAAAACUCAAA
rnacentral:rRNA from 1 species